rnacentral:rRNA from 1 species
GGACCUCAGAUCAGGCAAGACCACCCGCUGAGUUUAAGCAUAUCACUAAGCGGAGGAGAAGAAACUAACAAG